UCCCUGGUAGCUCAGAUGGUAAAGCGUCUGCCUACAAUGCAGGAGACCCGGGUUCAAUCCCUGGGUUGGGAA
rnacentral:tRNA from 1 species